rnacentral:rRNA from 1 species
GACAGAGGAUGCAAGCGUUAUCCGGAAUGAUUGGGCGUAAAGCGUCUGUAGGUGGCUUUUCAAGUCCGCCGUUAAAUCCCAGGGCUCAACUCUGGACAGGCGGUGGAAACUACCAAACUGGAGUACGGUAGGGGCAGAGGGAAUUUCCGGUGGAGCGGUGAAAUGCGUAGAUAUCGGGAAGAACACCAACGGCGAAAGCACUCUGCUGGGCCGACACUGACACUGAGAGACGAAAGCUAGGGGAGCAAAUGGG